UGCAUGUCAUAUGAUUCAAAAUUUUAGAAAUUAUAGAUGAUCCCUGUGUUGGUAAUUUUAUGUUUGGAACACAAACUAGCUCAUUUCUAUUCCACAAUUUCACUUCUAUGGAAUUCAGCAUAAUUAGGCCAAUUUUCACUGGAAAUGGAAUUAGUAAAAUUUCCAAAUGAACUCCACAAACCUAAGGCAACUGAAUUUUUUUUUGGACUAAUUUUCCUUUGGCAUCUCACAUUCUUCCAAAGCAACAAUACCUUUUUGGAUCACUGAAGUAACUCCAGUGAGUUUAUGGAAGUUGACAAGGAUCACAACUCUUGUGGCCAUAGACUCCAGAUUUUAUGAUAAGGGGGUUCAUCUGAGGAUUGAGGACAGACUUUGGCUACUUAUAUCAGAGAUUGAUUUUGUCAAGAUAGCCCAUUUUGGAUGCCCAAAAUAGGUUUACAGGCACCCAUACCACCAUAGGUUUCUGGACACCAUAAGUUGCAUUAUUGGCCAAAAAUUUAGACAGAAAAGCUUAUUAUGUUAAGGUAUCCAAAAACUAUGGACUUCAUGAAUUCAAUUCUAAAACUUGUUCCAAACAUAAG
rnacentral:misc_RNA from 1 species